rnacentral:rRNA from 1 species
UACGGCGGCAAGAGCGGUAGGGAAACGCCCGGUCCCAUCCCGAACCCGGAAGCUAAGCCUACCAGCGCCAAUGAUACUGACCAUACGGUCGGAAAAGUAGGACACCGCCGAAC